rnacentral:rRNA from 1 species
AGUCCACAUCGACGGGGAGGUUUGGCACCUCGAUGGCGGCUCAGCACAUCCUGGGGCUGUAGUAGGUCCCAAGGGUUGGGCUGUUCGCCCAUUAAAGUGGUACGCGAGCUGGGUUCAGAACGUCGUGGGACAGUUCGGUCCCUAUCCGUCGCAGGCGUAGGAAAUUUGAGAAGACCUGUCCUUAGUACGAGAGGACCGGGAUGGACGUACCUCUGGUGUACCAGUUGU